UACGUAGGUGGCAAGCGUUGUCCGGAUUUACUGGGUAUAAAGGGAGCGCAGGCGGGAUAGCAAGUCAGCGGUGAAAUGCAAAGGCUUAACCUUUGAACUGCCGUUGAAACUGUUAUUCUUGAGUGAAGUAGAGGCAAGCGGAAUUCCGAGUGUAGCGGUGAAAUGCGUAGAUAUUCGGAGGAACACCAGUGGCGAAGGCGGCUUGCUGGGCUUUUACUGACGCUGAGGCUCGAAAGUGUGGGUAGCAAAC
rnacentral:rRNA from 1 species